rnacentral:misc_RNA from 1 species
UUCUGGAAUGCCCCAAUUACAAGUACCAACUGCAAUAAGAUGACAGCCCUGUUGACAGAAUAACUGCCCUCCUUUUCCCUUCAACCCCUAUUCUUGAAUCCCCCCCUAUUCUACCUUCCUCCAUACCAUCUCAAUAUCUCAUCCCAUCUCCUUAUUAGUCAUAACAAAGGCCAGCGUAAGAUAGAAAUGGCGUGUAAACAUAGAAAUGGCAUGUAAACACUGAAGUGAUCUAGUUUAAUUGUGAAUUGUAUUACAUAAUUUAUACUGCCCUGGGUCCCUGGCUUAACCAUUUGUUCUGUAUUAUCAUG